rnacentral:rRNA from 1 species
UACGUAGGGUGCAAGCGUUGUCCGGAAUUAUUGGGCGUAAAGAGCUUGUAGGCGGUUUGUUGCGUCUGCUGUGAAAUUUCGGGGCUCAACCCCGAACUUGCAGUGGGUACGGGCAGACUAGAGUGUGGUAGGGGAGACUGGAAUUCCCGGUGUAGAGGUGAAAUUCGUAGAUAUCGGGAGGAACACCAGUGGCGAAGGCGGCGACCUGGGCCAAUAUUGACGCUGAGGUGCGAAAGCGUGGGGAGCAAACAGG